GUAAACGUGUAGUUUAAACUGACCUGUACUGUUUUUGCGUUUUUUAGGAGCAUUCUUAUACGAAAACUACCUCUAAUGCGUAACUCUUCACCCGGCUUUCAACAUGUCACGAAGAUAUGAUUCACGAACAACUAUAUUCUCUCCAGAGGGGAGACUGUAUCAGGUGGAGUAUGCUAUGGAGGCGAUUGGGCACGCAGGAACCUGUCUAGGUAUCCUAGCUAAUGACGGGGUUUUAUUGGCCGCGGAAAGACGCAACACAAACAAACUUCUGGAUGAAGUGUCAUAUUCAGAGAAAAUUUACAAACUUUACAAUGAUAUGGCUUGUAGUGUUGCUGGAAUCACAUCGGAUGCAAAUGUUUUAACAAAUGAACUCCGACUAAUUGCACAGAGGUUCCAUUUACAGUAUCAAGAACCUAUACCAUGCGAACAGCUUGUCAGUUCAUUGUGUGAUUUAAAACAAGCAUACACACAAUUUGGAGGUAAACGACCCUUUGGAGUAUCCCUGUUGUACAUGGGUUGGGAUAAACACUAUGGAUUUCAGUUGUAUCAGAGUGACCCUAGUGGAAACUAUGGAGGAUGGAAAGCUACUUGUAUUGGAAAUAACAGUGCAAACGCAGUGUCCAUGUUGAAACAAGAGUAUAAGGAUGGAGAAAUGACUCUGAGUGAUGCCUUACUAUUAGCAAUUAAAACCCUCAGUAAAACGCUGGAUAUGACCAAACUGACAGCUGACAAAGUUGAAAUAGCCACAUUGACAAGAGAAAAUGGAAAAACCAAGAUGACCAUCCUUGGGGCCCCUGCUGUGGAGGAAAUCAUAAAGAAGCAUGAAGAAAUCGAGGCAAAAUCAGAGGCGGAGAAAAAGAAGGAAAAGUCAUAAUAACAGGUCAGUAUUAACAGUUUAACAAAAUAAUAACAGGCCAAUAUUAAUAGCUUAACAAAAGGAAAAUAAUAACAGGUCAGUAUUAACAGCUUAUCAAAGUAAGAAGUCUGUGAAAUAUCAUUUAAAAGACUGACUUUUAAAAGUAGUACAUAUAUCUACUUUUAUUGUGAUUUAUGUAACCCUUUGUUCUGAAACAUUUUCUUUCAGGUCGUCGAUGAAUAGUGGAG